AACGAACGCUGGCGGCGUGCUUAACACAUGCAAGUCGAACGUGAAAGGCUUCGGCCGAGUAAAGUGGCGCACGGGUGAGUAACGCGUGGGUAAUCUGCCCUUGGGCGGGGGAUAACCUCUCGAAAGGGGGGCUAAUACCGCAUGAGACCACGGCUUCUCGGGGCUGUGGGAAAAGGUGGGUCGCAAGGCCUGCCACCUGAGGAUGAGCCCGCGUACCAUUAGGUUGUUGGUGGGGUAAUGGCCUACCAAGCCGAAGAUGGUUAGCUGGUCUGAGAGGAUGAUCCGCCACACUGGGACUGAGACACGGCCCAGACUCCUACGGGAGGCAGCAGUGGGGAAUUUUGGACAAUGGGCGCAAGCCUGAUCCAGCCAUGCCGCGUGAGUGAAGAAGGCCU
rnacentral:rRNA from 1 species